UCAGGACGAACGCUGGCGGCGUGCCUAAUACAUGCAAGUCGAGCGGACAGAUGGGAGCUUGCUCCCUGAUGUUAGCGGCGGACGGGUGAGUAACACGUGGGUAACCUGCCUGUAAGACUGGGAUAACUCCGGGAAACCGGGGCUAAUACCGGAUGGUUGUUUGAACCGCAUGGUUCAAACAUAAAAGGUGGCUUCGGCUACCACUUACAGAUGGACCCGCGGCGCAUUAGCUAGUUGGUGAGGUAACGGCUCACCAAGGCAACGAUGCGUAGCCGACCUGAGAGGGUGAUCGGCCACACUGGGACUGAGACACGGCCCAGACUCCUACGGGAGGCAGCAGUAGGGAAUCUUCCGCAAUGGACGAAAGUCUGACGGAGCAACGCCGCGUGAGUGAUGAAGGUUUUCGGAUCGUAAAGCUCUGUUGUUAGGGAAGAACAAGUACCGUUCGAAUAGGGCGGUACCUUGACGGUACCUAACCAGAAAGCCACGGCUAACUACGUGCCAGCAGCCGCGGUAAUACGUAGGUGGCAAGCGUUGUCCGGAAUUAUUGGGCGUAAAGGGCUCGCAGGCGGUUUCUUAAGUCUGAUGUGAAAGCCCCCGGCUCAACCGGGGAGGGUCAUUGGAAACUGGGGAACUUGAGUGCAGAAGAGGAGAGUGGAAUUCCACGUGUAGCGGUGAAAUGCGUAGAGAUGUGGAGGAACACCAGUGGCGAAGGCGACUCUCUGGUCUGUAACUGACGCUGAGGAGCGAAAGCGUGGGGAGCGAAC
rnacentral:rRNA from 1 species